rnacentral:rRNA from 1 species
AAUUUUGGACAAUGGGGGCAACCCUGAUCCAGCCAUCCCGCGCGUGCGAUGAAGGCCUUCGGGUUGUAAACCACUUUUGGCAGGGAAGAAAAGCCUCUGGCUAAUACCUGGAGCUGCUGACGGCACCUGCAGACGCAGCACCGGCUAACUACGUGCCAGCAGCCGCGGUAAUACGUAGGGUGCAAGCGUUAAUCGGAAUUACUGGGCGUAAAGCGUGCGCAGGCGGUUCGGCAAGAAGGAUGGGAAAUCCCAGGGCUUAACCUUGGAACUGCAUUCUUAACUGCCGGGCUAGAGUAUGUCAGAGGGGGGUAGAAUUCCGCGUGUAGCAGUGAAAUGCGUAGAGAUGCGGAGGAAUACCGAUGGCGAAGGCAGCCCCCUGGGAUAAUACUGACGCUCAUGCACGAAAGCGUGGGGAGCAAAC